GACGAACGCUGGCGGCGUGCUUAACACAUGCAAGUCGAACGGAAAGGCCCUGCUUUUGUGGGGUGCUCGAGUGGCGAACGGGUGAGUAACACGUGAGUAACCUGCCCUUGACUUUGGGAUAACUUCAGGAAACUGGGGCUAAUACCGGAUAGGAGCUCCUGCUGCAUGGUGGGGGUUGGAAAGUUUCGGCGGUUGGGGAUGGACUCGCGGCUUAUCAGCUUGUUGGUGGGGUAGUGGCUUACCAAGGCUUUGACGGGUAGCCGGCCUGGGAGGGUGACCGGCCACAUGGGGACUGAGAGACGGCCCAGACUCCAACGGGGGGCAGCGGGGGGGAAUAUGACAGAGUGGGGGGAAGCCGGUGACGAAGACCCGGGGUGCGGGAGGCCGGCUUUGGGGUUGAAAACCGCUUUCGCCGGUGAGGAGGGGGGAGUGACGGUAAUGGAUAAAGAAGCCACGGCUAACUACGUG
rnacentral:rRNA from 1 species